rnacentral:rRNA from 1 species
AUUGAACGCUGGCGGCAUGCUUUGCACAUGCAAGUCGGACGGCAGCGGGGUAGUGCUUGCACUACUGCCGGCGAGUGGCGAACGGGUGAGUAAUAUAUUGGAACGUACCGAGUAAUGGGGGAUAACCAAUCGAAAGAUUGGCUAAUACCGCAUACGCUCUGAGGAGGAAAGCAGGGGACCUUCGGGCCUUGCGUUAUUCGAGCGGCCAAUAUCUGAUUAGCUAGUUGGUGGGGCAAGGGCCUACCAAGGCGACGAUCAGUAGCGGGUCUGAGAGGAUGAUCCGCCACACUGGGACUGAGACACGGCCCAGACUCCUACGGGAGGCAGCAGUGGGGAAUUUUGGACAAUGGGCGCAAGCCUGAUCCAGCCAUGCCGCGUGUCUGAAGAAGGCCUUCGGGUUGUAAAGGACUUUUGUUAGGGAAGAAAAAGGAGCGGUUAAUACCCGUUUCUGCUGACGGUACCUAAAGAAUAAGCACCGGCUAACUACGUG